GACGAACGCUGGCGGCGUGCUUAACACAUGCCAGUCGAACGGAAAGGCCUGCUUUCCCUUGUGGAUUGCGGGUACUCGAGUGGCGAACGGGUGAGUAACACGUGAGUGAUCUGCCCCCAACUUGGGUAUAAGCCUGGGAAACUGGGUCUAAUUCCCGAUAGGACUGCAGGGUGGUGCCUGUGGUGGAAAACGAUUUUCUAGUGGUUGGGGAUGAGCUCGCGGCCUAUCAGCUUGUUGGUGGGGUGAUGGCCUACCAAGGCGGCGACGGGUAGCCGGCCUGAGAGGGUGGACGGCCACAUUGGGACUGAGAUACGGCCCAGACUCCUACGGGAGGCAGCAGUGGGGAAUAUUGCACAAUGGGCGGAAGCCUGAUGCAGCGACGCCGCGUGGGGGAUGACGGCCUUCGGGUUGUAAACUCCUUUCGACCGCGAGGAAGCCACCUGGUUGGAAGGGUGGUGACGGUAGUGGUAGAAGAAGCACCGGCUAACUACGUG
rnacentral:rRNA from 1 species